rnacentral:rRNA from 1 species
UACAGAGGGGGCAAGCGUUAUUCGGAAUUAUUGGGCGUAAAGGGCGCGUAGGCGCCUGGCAAGUGGAAGGUGAAAUCCCUCGGCUUAACCGAGGAACUGCCUUCCAAACUGCUUGGCUUGAGUCCGGGAGAGGUGAGUGAAUUCCCAGUGUGGCGGUGAAAUGCGUAGAUAUUGGGAGGAACACCAGUGGCGAAGGCGGCUCACUGGACCGGAACUGACGCUGAUGCGCGAAAGCGUGGGGAGCAAACGGG